CGUGUAGGCGGCCUUUUAAGUCAGACGUGAAAUCUCCAGGCUUAACCUGGAAACUGCGUUUGAAACUGGAGGGCUUGAGGACCGGAGAGGGCAGUGGAAUUCCCAGUGUAGCGGUGAAAUGCGUAGAUAUUGGGAGGAACACCAGUGGCGAAGGCGACUGCCUGGACGGCACCUGACGCUGAGGCGCGAAAGCUAGGGGAGCAAACGGGAUUAGAUACCCCGGUAGUCCUAGCCGUAAACGAUGGGUACUAGGUGUGGGAGGUAUCGACCCCUUCCGUGCCGCAGUUAACACAAUAAGUACCCCGCCUGGGGAGUACGGCCGCAAGGUUGAA
rnacentral:rRNA from 1 species